rnacentral:rRNA from 1 species
AAUCCAUAGGUUAAUGAGGCGAACCGGGGGAACUGAAACAUCUAAGUACCCCGAGGAAAAGAAAUCAACCGAGAUUCCCCCAGUAGCGGCGAGCGAACGGGGAGGAGCCCAGAGCCUGAAUCAGCAUGUGUGUUAGUGGAAGCGUCUGGAAAGGCGCGCGAUACAGGGUGACAGCCCCGUACACAAAAGCGCAUGUGCUGUGAGCUCGAUGAGUAGGGCGGGACACGUGGUAUCCUGUCUGAAUAUGGGGGGACCAUCCUCCAAGGCUAAAUACUCCUGACUGACCGAUAGUGAACCAGUACCGUGAGGGAAAGGCGAAAAGAACCCCGGCGAGGGGAGUGAAAAAGAACCUGAAACCGUGUACGUACAAGCAGUGGGAGCCCCACCACUAAGCCAGUGGUGAACUCCACAUACGCAUCCUUUGCUGAGGAUACGGUUAACGGAGCGAAAGCGACGUUCAACCGCAAAAGAAGCAGAGGGGGCUUAGUGGUGGGGUGACUGCGUACCUUUUGUAUAAUGGGUCAGCGACUUAUAUUCUGUAGCAAGGUUAACCGAAUAGGGGAGCCGGAGGGAAACCGAGUCUUAAUUGGGCGUUAAGUUGCAGGGUAUAGACCCGAAACCCGGUGAUCUAGCCAUGGGCAGGUUGAAGGUUGGGUAACACUAACUGGAGGACCGAACCGACUAAUGUUGAAAAAUUAGCGGAUGACCUGUGGCUGGGGGUGAAAGGCCAAUCAAACCGGGAGAUAGCUGGUUCUCCCCGAAAGCUAUUUAGGUAGCGCCUCGUGAAUUCAUCUCCGGGGGUAGAGCACUGUUUCGGCUAGGGGGCCAUCCCGGCUUACCAACCCGAUGCAAACUGCGAAUACCGGAGAAUGUUAUCACGGGAGACACACGGCGGGUGCUAACGUCCGUCGUGAAGAGGGAAACAACCCAGACCGCCAGCUAAGGUCCCAAAGUCAUGGUUAAGUGGGAAACGAUGUGGGAAGGCCCAGACAGCCAGGAUGUUGGCUUAGAAGCAGCCAUCAUUUAAAGAAAGCGUAAUAGCUCACUGGUCGAGUCGGCCUGCGCGGAAGAUGUAACGGGGCUAAACCAUGCACCGAAGCUGCGGCAGCGAACGUAUCACUUAAAGCGAUUCAGCGGGUUACGAUUGACGGAGCGAAGCGACGUCAAAGCGUAUACAAAGUCGAGUCGGUUUAAGGAUACGUUCGUUGGGUAGGGGAGCGUUCUGUAAGCCUGUGAAGGUGGCCUGUGAGGGUUGCUGGAGGUAUCAGAAGUGCGAAUGCUGACAUAAGUAACGAUAAAGCGGGUGAAAAGCCCGCUCGCCGGAAGACCAAGGGUUCCUGUCCAACGUUAAUCGGGGCAGGGUGAGUCGACCCCUAAGGCGAGGCCGAAAGGCGUAGUCGAUGGGAAACGGGUUAAUAUUCCCGUACUUGGUGUUACUGCGAAGGGGGGACGGAGAAGGCUAUGUUGGCCGGGCGACGGUUGUCCCGGUUUAAGCGUGUAGGCUGGUUUUCCAGGCAAAUCCGGAAAAUCAAGGCUGAGGCGUGACGACGAGGCACUACGGUGCUGAAGCAACAAAUGCCCUGCUUCCAGGAAAAGCCUCUAAGCAUCAGGUAACAUCAAAUCGUACCCCAAACCGACACAGGUGGUCAGGUAGAGAAUACCAAGGCGCUUGAGAGAACUCGGGUGAAGGAACUAGGCAAAAUGGUGCCGUAACUUCGGGAGAAGGCACGCUGACACGUAGGUGAAGUGAUUUACUCAUGGAGCUGAAGUCAGUCGAAGAUACCAGCUGGCUGCAACUGUUUAUUAAAAACACAGCACUGUGCAAACACGAAAGUGGACGUAUACGGUGUGACGCCUGCCCGGUGCCGGAAGGUUAAUUGAUGGGGUCAGCGCAAGCGAAGCUCCUGAUCGAAGCCCCGGUAAACGGCGGCCGUAACUAUAACGGUCCUAAGGUAGCGAAAUUCCUUGUCGGGUAAGUUCCGACCUGCACGAAUGGCGUAAUGAUGGCCAGGCUGUCUCCACCCGAGACUCAGUGAAAUUGAACUCGCUGUGAAGAUGCAGUGUACCCGCGGCAAGACGGAAAGACCCCGUGAACCUUUACUAUAGCUUGACACUGAACAUUGAGCCUUGAUGUGUAGGAUAGGUGGGAGGCUUUGAAGUGUGGACGCCAGUCUGCAUGGAGCCGACCUUGAAAUACCACCCUUUAAUGUUUGAUGUUCUAACGUGGACCCGUGAUCCGGGUUGCGGACAGUGUCUGGUGGGUAGUUUGACUGGGGCGGUCUCCUCCUAAAGAGUAACGGAGGAGCACGAAGGUUGGCUAAUCCUGGUCGGACAUCAGGAGGUUAGUGCAAUGGCAUAAGCCAGCUUGACUGCGAGCGUGACGGCGCGAGCAGGUGCGAAAGCAGGUCAUAGUGAUCCGGUGGUUCUGAAUGGAAGGGCCAUCGCUCAACGGAUAAAAGGUACUCCGGGGAUAACAGGCUGAUACCGCCCAAGAGUUCAUAUCGACGGCGGUGUUUGGCACCUCGAUGUCGGCUCAUCACAUCCUGGGGCUGAAGUAGGUCCCAAGGGUAUGGCUGUUCGCCAUUUAAAGUGGUACGCGAGCUGGGUUUAGAACGUCGUGAGACAGUUCGGUCCCUAUCUGCCGUGGGCGCUGGAGAACUGAGGGGGGCUGCUCCUAGUACGAGAGGACCGGAGUGGACGCAUCACUGGUGUUCGGGUUGUCAUGCCAAUGGCACUGCCCGGUAGCUAAAUGCGGAAGAGAUAAGUGCUGAAAGCAUCUAAGCACGAAACUUGCCCCGAGAUGAGUUCUCCCUGAGACUUAGAGUCUCCUGAAGGAACGUUGAAGACGACGACGUUGAUAGGCCGG